UUAAUCACAUUACGAAUUCUAAAAAUUUCUUAAAUUAUGUCACAUUAUCAAUUAGUACACUAAUUAGUAUAUCAAUUAAUACAUAUAAUAUUAUUCUUUAAAAAUAUCUUAUUUGGCUUACACCACCACAAGUCCAGAUCGCGCUCUCUUGCUGGCGAUGAUAGAGGAGGGGGAUGGACUCGUAGUCGGUGACUGUGAGUGUGGCUGUAGUGAUGUCCAAUAGUGAUUCCGAGAAAAAUAAGGAUAUUAUGACAGUUCUAAUUUUAAGAUAGGAUAAUAGGCAAUUUGAAUCCUUAAAAUAUAUAUUCUUUGUCAUUAGUUUAUUAAAUUUUAAUUUUGUCAUUUUGAUCUUUAAAGUUAUCAAUUUGAAUUAAUUUGAUCUUAGGUUCAACUUCUGAUAACAAAAGAUGAAUAAAAUGCAGUUUUGGUCCUUAAAGUAUGUAUUUCUUGUCAUUUAGUCUCUUAAGUUUUAAAUAUUGUCAUUUUGGUCCUCAAUUUGAGUCAAUUUGGUCCUAACUCAAUUUGGCAACUUUGACGAUUAAAAUGAUAAAAUUUAAACUUGAAGAACUAAAAUGACAAGAAAUUCAUAUUUUAGAAAUCAAUACUAUUUUUUAUUCAUAAAUAUGUUAAAGCACGUUAAAGACCAAAUUGAUUCAAAAUGAUAAUUUUGAUGACCAAACUAAUAAAAUUAAAAUUUAAUGGACUUAAAGUAAAAAAACAAGGCAUACUUUAGGAUUAAAUCUACGUUUUAUCUAAAAGAUAAAAUUGUAAGACGCCAUCGAUGAAAGUGUAUGAACUGAGGAAGUAAGACGCCAAAAUUUAGGGUGUUGCUAUCCACCUUCUCUGGAUGAUGAUAAGAAUCAAAAUAGACAAUUAGCCAAAGAAAAAAGAAAAAAAAAAAA